rnacentral:rRNA from 1 species
CCUACGGGAGGCAGCAGUGAGGAAUAUUGGUCAUUGGGCGGAAGCCUGAACCAGCCAAGUCGCGUGAGGGAAUAAGGCCCUACGGGUCGUAAACCUCUUUUGCCGGGGAGCAAGGGCGGGGACGUGUCCCGGCCCGGAGAGUACCCGGAGAAAAAGCAUCGGCUAACUCCGUGCCAGCAGCCGCGGUAAAACGGAGGAUGCGAGCGUUAUCCGGAUUUAUUUGGUUUAAAGGGUGCGUAGGCGGGCUUUUAAGGUAGGGGUAAAAAGUCGGGGCUCAACCCCGGCCCGCCGUUGAAACUGGGGGCCUUGAGUGGGCGAGAAGAAGGCGGAA